CGUAAAGGUAUUGCCUUAGUACGGCGAGUGAAGCGGCAAAAGCUCAAAUUUGAAAUCUGGCACCUUCGGUGUCCGAGUUGUAAUUUGAAGAAGGUAACUUUGGAGUUGGCUCUUGUCUAUGUUCCUUGGAACAGGACGUCACAGAGGGUGAGAAUCCCGUGCGAUGAGAUGCCCAAUUCUAUGUAAAGUGCUUUCGAAGAGUCGAGUUGUUUGGGAAUGCAGCUCUAAGUGGGUGGUAAAUUCCAUCUAAAGCUAAAUAUUGGCGAGAGACCGAUAGCGAACAAGUACAGUGAUGGAAAGAUGAAAAGAACUUUGAAAAGAGAGUGAAAAAGUACGUGAAAUUGUUGAAAGGGAAGGGCUUGAGAUCAGACUUGGUAUUUUGCGAUCCUUUCCUUCUUGGUUGGGUUCCUCGCAGCUUACUGGGCCAGCAUCGGUUUGGAUGGUAGGAUAAUGACUAAGGAAUGUGGCUCUACUUCGGUGGAGUGUUAUAGCCUUGGUUGAUACUGCCUGUCUAGACCGAGGACUGCGUCUUUUGACUAGGAUGUUGGCAUAAUGAUCUUAAGCCACCCGUCUUG
rnacentral:rRNA from 1 species